rnacentral:rRNA from 1 species
AAAUUGAAGAGUUUGAUCAUGGCUCAGAUUGAACGCUGGCGGCAGGCCUAACACAUGCAAGUCGAGCGGUAGCACAGAGAGCUUGCUCUCGGGUGACGAGCGGCGGACGGGUGAGUAAUGUCUGGGAAACUGCCUGAUGGAGGGGGAUAACUACUGGAAACGGUAGCUAAUACCGCAUA